rnacentral:rRNA from 1 species
UACGUAGGGUGCAAGCGUUAAUCGGAAUUACUGGGCGUAAAGCGUGCGCAGGCGGUGCUGUAAGACAGGCGUGAAAUCCCCGGGCUUAACCUGGGAAUGGCGCUUGUGACUGCAGUGCUGGAGUGCGGCAGAGGGGGAUGGAAUUCCGCGUGUAGCAGUGAAAUGCGUAGAGAUGCGGAGGAACACCGAUGGCGAAGGCAAUCCCCUGGGCCUGCACUGACGCUCAUGCACGAAAGAGUGGGGAGCAAACAGG